GCCAGUUUUACUACCGGUUCUAUAGAACCGGUGCGAACCGGAGGCAACCCACCACUGCCUUAGAUGAAUAAAAUUAUAAUUAUUCAAUAGAUACCUUUAAGGGCUACUUGGUUGAGUAGUAGCUUAGAACUCAGCUUGAUGUUUUCUUGGCCUGGUCCAUGCUCAAUGUUUAUCUUGUACGUUUGUUUGUUUUUGGCUUAGAGUGCUAUCUGAUCUAGUGACUGUGAUUUGUCAACUAUCCAGGGAUUGCAGUACGUUGCCUGAAGAACCAGUGUGAGAUAUUUAAAUGCCGUCACUAUGUUUGGAUGACAGUGACUGUAAUGAGAAUCGGGCACAACAUGAAUAUAUUGUGAUGACAAGCACUGCGAAUGCAAGACUGUGAAACUGACACCCAUCCUAAGCUUAUUCUUUGCCAUUAAAAAAAAAAAAGUGUUAAA